rnacentral:rRNA from 1 species
CCUACGGGAGGCAGCAGUGGGGAAUAUUGGACAAUGGGGGCAACCCUGAUCCAGCCAUGCCGCGUGUGUGAAGAAGGCCCUCGGGUUGUAAAGCACUUUCAGCGAGGAAGAACGCCUAGCGGUUAAUACCCGCUAGGAAAGACAUCACUCGCAGAAGAAGCACCGGCUAACUCCGUGCCAGCAGCCGCGGUAAUACGGAGGGUGCAAGCGUUAAUCGGAAUUACUGGGCGUAAAGCGCGCGUAGGUGGCUUGAUAAGCCGGUUGUGAAAGCCCCGGGCUCAACCUGGGAACGGCAUCCGGAACUGUCAAGCUAGAGUGCAGGAGAGGAAGGUAGAAUUCCCGGUGUAGCGGUGAAAUGCGUAGAGAUCGGGAGGAAUACCAGUGGCGAAGGCGGCCUUCUGGACUGACACUGACACUGAGGUGCGAAAGCGUGGGUAGCAAACAGGAUUAGAUACACUGGUAGUCCACGCCGUAAACGAUGUCGACCAGCCGUUGGGUGCCUAGCGCACUUUGUGGCGAAGUUAACGCGAUAAGUCGACCGCCUGGGGAGUACGGCCGCAAGGUUAAAACUCAAAUGAAUUGACGGA